rnacentral:lncRNA from 1 species
AGUGAUAGAUUGCUGCAGGAACUGGAAGGGUCAAAGAAAAUGUGAAUUAGAGCCCUUACAACGUUAUAGGAGAGCCAUCUGAGUUGGAUACAGCUACUGUCUUUGCCAAAUGUCAACUUCAGGAAAUGAAUAGUCAUGUAUCAGUCAACCUAGGACUGAGAAAGUGUGAAAUGGGACUGAAGAAAAUGGUGAGAUCAGAUUCUUAGGAAACAGAUUCUGAUGGAGUGACCUGGGACCCAUCACCUGUAAGGCCCACAGGAAGAAGGGUCAGAUAUCAAUCACCCAGAGAUCAUUACACAGGUCCAGGUCAGAAACAUACCCAUUGCCAAGCUUGGCUACCAGCAUUGGCUCCUCUGGACCAUAGAUUCAGCUGACUCCCAAGGAAAUACUUCUCAGAAGAUUUCACUUCAAUGGAACUCUGCCUUAAACAAAGACAUCUGGCACCAUUUAUGAGUGCAAAUGCAGAGGCAGGAUGACUCUCAGCAAGCAAUUUUACAUGUGCUGACAUCAACACCUGUUCAUCGCCACAACGAGACACCAACUAUUCCUAAGAGGAAAAAGAUGUAACCUAUAUACCCACAAAGUGGAUUGGGAAUAUAUGGUCAUAUGGUAUAUUAAAACCAUAUCAUAGAAACUAUUGAGAAUUUACCUAACACAUCAUGACAACAAAGUGAACAGCACCCUACCUGAACCAUGUAAAAGGGAAAAAGCUGUAAUGAAGACAUCCCUAUGAACCUGUCAACUAUCUUGUGUGUGUACACUGGAAGACAGACAGACAUAGAAGUCCUGACUGUCCUUGAUGCUUCAGCUCAGCAUGCUACUUGAUGUCCUACAGCUUGAUGUCGCCCACUAAAGUUUCUAGUUUUUGACAGGUCCUAUGUCUCUUAGGCUCUACUCUACCCUGCAACCCAAUAACUUGGCUAUGUGGGUCUACAAAAUCUUCAACCAGAUUAAUAAAGGUCUACUGUAAACACCUUCA